AAAUUUAGAUAUAUAUAAUGAUUUAUUUAAUGGCUGCGGUAUUUUAACUGUACUAAGGUAGCAUAAUCAUUUGUCUAUUAAUUUUAGACUAGAAUGAAAGGUUAUAUAAGAAAUUAGCUUUCUUAUAAAUAUAAAUAAAAUUUUUUUUUUGAUUAAAAAAAAUCAAAUUGAUUUAUAGGACG
rnacentral:rRNA from 1 species